rnacentral:rRNA from 1 species
UGAACGCUGGCGGCGUGCCUACUACAUGCACGUCGAGCGAACAGACGAGGAGCUUGCUCCUCUGACGUUAGCGGCGGACGGGUGAGUAACACGUGGAUAACCUACCUAUAAGACUGGGAUAACUUCGGGAAACCGGAGCUAAUACCGGAUAAUAUAUUGAACCGCAUGGUUCAAUAGUGAAAGACGGUUUUGCUGUCACUUAUAGAUGGAUCCGCGCCGCAUUAGCUAGUUGGUAAGGUAACGGCUUACCAAGGCGACGAUGCGUAGCCGACCUGAGAGGGUGAUCGGCCACACUGGAACUGAGACACGGUCCAGACUCCUACGGGAGGCAGCAGUAGGGAAUCUUCCGCAAUGGGCGAAAGCCUGACGGAGCAACGCCGCGUGAGUGAUGAAGGUCUUCGGAUCGUAAAACUCUGUUAUUAGGGAAGAACAAAUGUGUAAGUAACUAUGCACGUCUUGACGGUACCUAAGCAGAAAGCCACGGCUAACUACGU